AUGAGUCACACGCCAGUUCUUGUGUUUUGUUUGGGAUCUCGGCCGCUUUUCCCCCUCGGUGGCGGAAACGUUGCAGCACUGCAGCAUGAAGGAACGGUCGGUUCCGUGCGGCCAGGAAGGUCCUUUCGGGGCGAAGGAAGGUGUCGCCGAGCACCUCUGGGCAGCCACCGCCCGUCUUCAAGGGCCUCGGGAGUGGAAGGGCAGGGCCGAGGGGGGCGGCGAGGGGGUCUAGACCGCCAGCGGGACGGUCUGCAUGGCUCCUGCUGCGCGGAGGCCGCCCGGGAGCUGGCACGGGGUCCCCGGCACGAGCCGAGACGGCGGCGGCGGCUGGGGUCCUCGGCGCGAGGCGCGGGGACAGGCAAAGGCGCGGGCAGCGGCCGAGCCGGGACUCCCGGGCACCUGGCGGGCGUCCCCGCGCCCAGGGCGGGGAUCCGGCUGGGCAGGCCGGUGCGGAGCGAGCGAGGCGCACGCCCGGGGAGGCUCGGGGGUCUCGGCCCGCAGGAAGUUGGCGCCUGGACGCCUGGACGCCUGGACGCCUGGGCUCCGGGCAGUGGCUCAGCACACCGGCCGCCUUGUCUCAGGGUUGCCCCCGCGAGGGUCGCAUCUCAGGGACGGCGGCCACGGCUCCCAGCGGACGAGAAGGUGGGGGAGGGAGGCUGGCCCGGAGAUUGGGGGAGAGGCCUGGAGGCCCCGGGCUGGGUCCGCCGCAGCCUCCACCACUCGCGGCCGGUGGGGCAGGCUCAGGCUGUGCCCGACAAGGCAGGAAACUUUCCGACCUGGUGGGGAAAACAUCAAAACAAACGGCCGUCAGGCGCCGGUGCCCGCCCGCCUCAGCCCGCACCCCCUUCCACCCGCGCCCCCCCCUCCCCCGCCAGUCCCUGCGAUGGGCCACGACCUCGGCCGACCUCUCCGCGGACAAGCUGCGGGGAUUUAAGGCCCGGACGCCACGACGGGUCCAGCCUCCCCGGCCGCCGCCGCCGCCUCAGCUUACCUUGCCAGCGCCGGCCGCCAUAG
rnacentral:lncRNA from 12 species